rnacentral:rRNA from 1 species
UUUAGUGGCAGACGAGUUAGUAACGCGUAAGAAAUCUACCCUAAAGCGGGGGACAACUGGGCGAAAGUUCAGCUAAUACCCCAUACGAUCAUGAAAUGGAGUCAUUUUAUGAUCAAAGGCUUCGGCCACUUUUGGAUGAUCUUGCGUCCUAUCAGCUAGUUGGUGAGGUAACGGCUCACCAAGGCUAUGACGGGUACCCGGCCUGAAAGGGCGGACGGGAACGGAGGCACUGAGACACGGGCCUCACUUC